rnacentral:rRNA from 1 species
GGCUAAUCAAGCCUGGUGAUAGCCGGUUCUACCCGAAAGCUAUUUAGGUAGCGCCUCGGGCGAAUACCAUAGGGGGUAUCGCACUGUUUCGGCUAGGCGGUCAUCCCGACUCACCAAACCGAUGCCAUCUCCGAAUACCUGUGAGUACUUUCCGUGAGACAGACUGCGGGUGCUGACGUCCGUAGUCAAGAGGAAGACAAUACCGACCGCCAGCUAAGGCCCCAAAAUCAUAGUUAAGUGGGAAACGAUGUGGGAAGGCAAAGACAGCUAGGAGGUUGGCUUAGACGCAGCCACCCUUGAAAGAAAGCGUAAUAGCUCA